rnacentral:lncRNA from 10 species
UAGGAAAAACAGUGUAAAUACCUGGGUGACUAAUGACUUUGCACAGCUCAGCUGGCUUUUCUGAACAUUUCAUGGGACGUCUCUCCAGGGGAAACAACCUGAAAAUGUUUCAGGACUCCGGGUGGCAUUGAAGGGCCAGAGAGGGGUGUUUAGUGCACGCUGUUGGCUGGCUGGUUUUGUGGGUUUUGUUCACCGUCUACCGGGCAGAGAGCCUUUCUGCCGAUGUCGCCAGAUGCCUCUCUCCAAGCGAAAUGACCCAUUUGCAUGCGUGGUGCAGACAUUUUCCGGAGCUCCAGGGCUCCCAGGCCUCCCCAGGCCUCCGAUUGUAAAGGAUCGUAGGGCCACCCCUUUCCUUGUUCACAUGGACAGCGCCUAAGAGGAUUUAGAAUCAAGUGGGCACAUUUGCACUGCCUUGUUCUGAAGAGGCAGCUGGAGCGCGGACUGGCCUGGCGCAACCCACCGCGGGUCCCGGGGGACCGCAUUGUCUCGGAGGGGCCGCCACAGGGGCUCCAUUGUGAGCGGGGCCGGCCUUUUUCUCCUGCCCUCUGUCUCCCCGGGCCUCCCCUCAUCCCCCCCACCCCCCCUCCACGCAGACUUUUCUCUCAAGCUGCCGGCACCCCCGGCUGCCGCAUUUCCAAUGCAGGGGAGCGGCGAGGCUCCGGGCUGGCCAUCUGCACGCGGAGAUUGACAGCAGUCCCGGAAGGCGGUGGACCAGGGAUACAAGAAACGAGACUCCUAGCCCUUGAGAUGCUCUUCAUGUGGGGUCAUUACUUAGGGAUCAGCAAUUUGCUAAAGAUGAACAGAUUCUAAGAAGAUGGUUUUCCAGCAGCAACCAAUUUUAAAUCUGGACUGUGCACCAGGCACCUCUUGGAUGGACAGCCCUGAAACAUCUUUCAUGCAACUCCUCAGGCAGCCCAGAAACAGCCAGGAACCAUUCGCCAGGAGCUGUGGCCAACUUAAUAACUCAUCCUUGUAUUGGUUUCCAUCCUCUGUCCUUCAUCCGUCUUGUCUUUUACUCCUACUUGCUGGAUCACACAUCCCAAUAAAUUUUUGCACUCAAGCGUUUGUCUCAGGAUCUGCUGUCCGGAGGACCAAGACUAAGUUCAAGUCAUAUUUUUUUUUUUUUGAGAUGGAAUCUCACUCUGUUGCCCAGGCUGGAGUGCAGCGGCAUGAUUUUGAUUCACUGCAACGUCCACCUCCCGGGUUCAAGUGAUUGUCCUGCCUCAGCCUCAUGAGUAGCUGGGAUUACAGGUGCACGCCACCACACCUGGCUAAUUUUUGUAUUUUUAGUAGAGACAGGGUUUCACCAUGU